UUUAAUGAUGGCUAGUCAGUCGCAUGUAAUCCAUGAAGCUAGAACAGCAUGUGGGUCGAAGGCAUGACAGGAGGGAGCACAAAGUCUGGACUUUGUCCUCCAUUAUUUUAAGUUGUAUGUAUAACACAAUUCUACUGGGAAGGGCAGCCCAUUUAGCUACCCUAAGUAUGUUUCCCCUAUAAUGACUGAAAUUCUCCGGAGGCUGUAUUCCUUGAUUUUAAGCUAAUUUUAAAUAAAUUGAUCGCUCAAGACAUUCCUAAACUGUUCAGUUGACUCCUCUACAAUCUGAACAAAUGCCAAAGAGCCUGAAUUGGGCAAAAGAGAGAGAGUGCUUCAUUGGAGCAGGCCAAUAUAUGCCCCUUGUGACCUCAUCACUCAGCCAGUCCCCUGGAUAUCCCAAUACAUGUCUGGUAAAUAGCCACUGAGUAGGUGGACUUAAAGACCCCCACGACCCCCUCAUUACUUCAUCCCAGGAAUAGGUGGUUAACAACGCACCCUUUCCUCCUUGAUACCUGGCUGGACCACUGUAGUUCAACAUGGCGGCUAGAGCUUGCUGACUUCUCUUACCUAAGAGAGUUCUUGUUUACAGGCUCCUUUAUCAGGAACCCAGGAGGAGAGCAUAAAGGAAGAAAGUAUGUAUGACCAAGGAAUAGCUGUGAAAGGACAUGCAUGGAAGCGGCCUAUGUGGCCAGGGCAUCCAUGCCUCUGAUGCCGCGAGGCUGUCUGCGUGCCCUCACGGGGUCACUAAGCUCAGAGCUCAGGGCUCCCACGUUUGCUCUCUCCUGGGUGGACCAUUUCCCGGCCGGCCCCUGCCUUGUCUCUGGUCUGCACCUCUGGCUUCCUGAGCUGCUCUCUGCUGCCAUCUGCUGGCGCUCAGCUGCCAUCUCCUAAGCACAAACUGCCGCAAGGAUUGGAAGCUCUUACUAAUGAGACUGAAGACACAGGCAGAAAUAGUCCUGAAGGGGAGGAAGAUGGGGAGCUAUCUGAAGACACUGAUGCCAAUCUAGAGGAAACUCAUUAGCCAAUGAAAAUUUUUAAGAUGAAAGCAACCUCGAAUAGCAGGAUAAGACAAAAGAAUAGUAUAUUCCUAUACGUUUUGUUAAGAGUCCUGUGAACAUCCAGAAUGAUGGUAAGAAAAACAAAAAAUGUCCUUUUAAAAGUAAUCUUUGGGGGCAGGAAGAAGAUCAGAGAAGAAUAGCUCUGACUGGGGUAGACUGGACAACAGAUGGCGGUGAUAAGGCUGAAAGACACCUCUCAUUUUGUUUGUUUCUCUUCCUGGGGGACUAAUCUUUGGACUAGUAAAGACAGAAGAGACAUUGUUAGCUGGGAGUGUAAUCUUCAGAUCAAUGAGAAGGAUAGUCAGAGAGCAUUGAUCUACCUUCAAUGAGUGCAAAUGUAUUCAUUUAGAUGAAAUAUAUCCUUGAGUAUUUAAAGAACUUCCAGCUCAUUAACCUCCUCAAUUCCUAUGCCACAGUCUUAGAGCUAGAAGGCACUUUCUAGAUUAUGGAAAGCUGCCAUGUCAGAUGGCAGAUAAAGAAACUAAGGGAAGAGUUCGGUGAAACAAUCAGCUCUCUCAUCUCCCCUCCCUCUGACAUCUACAUCUGUCAGCAUCUUCACCAGACCUCUGCUCUGGUCCCAGAGGAUAAGGGGGACCCUUAUCCUUUCUCUUCUUGUGUCUUUGAUCCACCCCUCCCAUCUCCUUGGGGAGCUUUCUUCAUUGAUCAUGCCCCCAUUCUCUAUUAUCUUAAUGCUUCUCUUUACCUACUGCUUCCUUUCCAAAUCCCUACAAACAUGCUCCUAUAGCUUCUUUCCUUAAAAACAACAACAAACAACUCUUCCUUUUACUGUGCCAUAUGCUCAAGCUGCCUUCUUAUGUUUUUCCUUUUUUUAUAACGGAGCUUCCAGAAAGAGCAGUCCCAGAAAGAAGGUGAUCUUCUACUCUUGAUUCUGAAACUGGUCUCUCAAGGGUCUCUAAUGACAUUGAAAAAAAAUCCUUUCCUUUUGUCGUGGAAUUAAUAUUAAGGGCUAGGCAAUGGGGAUUAGGUGACUUGCUCCGGAUCACUCAGCUAGGAUCACAUUUGAACCCAGAGCCUUCCAACUCCAGGCUUACUUAGUCUCUAUCCAUUGAAGUACCUAGCUGACCCCAAUGACAUUUUAAUUAUUCAAAUCAGUGACUUUUCUGGAUCUUUAUAGUGCAUGGCCUUCGGAAGGAUUUGACAAUGAUGACUUUCUCUUCCAUAUCUCCAUUCAGGUAGCUUUUCUGCCUAUGCUCUCCUUUUUCAAUUUCUUCUUCUAUAUAUUGUCUUUCCUCCAAUACAAUGUUAGUUCCUUGAGGGCAAGGGUUGUCCUUCUUUCAUUUUUCUUUUUUUGGCUUCUAUUUAUAUUCCCAGUGCUUAGCACAGUGAUUGGCUCAUUUAAUAAACCUUUAUUGACUUGACUACUCUUUCCACCUUGGUUCCUUUAAUAUUGCUUUCCUUGAGUUCUCCUGCUGAUCUAACAAUUUUUCUCUUCCAUUUCCUUUCCUGAGCCAUCUUUUUCUUCUUGCCCUCCAAGUGUGGGUAUAUACCUCGUCUCUCUCUUUCCACUCUCUUUCAUCUGCUCCCAGAACUUCAAUGAUCACCUCUACACAGAAAGCCCUCCAAUACAGUCCAAGCCCUACUCCUUUUCCUGAUUUAUCGCCGGCCUGAUGGACAUCUCCACUUGGAUGUCCUAUUGGUGUCCAAAAUUGAAUCUGUCAUCUUCCUGCUUAAAUAGGACUCUAAAACCUGGUUCUAACUCUGAAUAAAGCUACUAUUUUCUCAGUCAUCCCACCGUCCAGUUCUGAAACGUUGGUCAUCUGUAAUUCUUCCCUCUUGAAUGUAUCCCUGUAGCAUCUUAGAUUUGACUUUUUUGCUUCUUGGACAGGGUCGAAAUAGUGGUUCUAGCUAUCAUUCCUUGCGGUCUGUUGCUACUUCUCAUUAGUUUCCUAGCUGCACUCCUUGCUUAAAGUGUCUCCCCUUUCUAAUCCUUCCUUCAGAAAGCUAAAGAACUCUUAGUUUUUUAGUUUUAUAAGGCUUCUAGGGUAGCUAGGAAGUACAGCGGAUAAAGCACAGAGCCUGGAGUCAGUACAAAUCCAGCCUCAGACACUUAUUAGCUGUGUGACCCUGGGCAAGUCACUUAACUCUGUCUCAGGUCCUCAUCUGUAAAAUAAGCUGGAGAAGGAAAUGGCAAACCACACCAGUAUUUUUGCCAAGAAAACCCCCAAACAGGGUCAUGAAGAGUCACGCAAGACUGAAAUGACUGAACAAGGCCAAGAGCUUUGCUAUUUCUGUCUGUCUUAGUGCCUAGCUUUGAACACGGUAGGCAAUUAAUAAAUUUUUGUUAGAGAGCUCUAUUUUAUCUUCCUGUCGGAAAAAAGACCCAUGUGUUUUCAAAGGCCAAGAAGCUUAGACAGCAACCACAAUUUAUCUUUUGACCUCAAAUAAGGGCAGUGAUUUUGAUGCUGGAAAUUCCUUUGUCAAAUCUCACUGGGACCUCUAGAUGAGAGUAAAGUUUGGGAAGUCUAAUGCAUACAGUCUGAAGAAGUGGACCAGAUGUUCCUGAAAAGUACUGGACUGGGGACCAGAAACCUGGGUUCUAGUCUCUGAACUCACACUAGCCAGCUAUAUGGCAGCAAGUCCCUUCUCUCAGUGCCUCAUUUUCUCCAUCUGAUGGAGACUAAGUAAGGCAUGCAGCUAGGAAACAAAUGCAAAAUGGCAAAAGGCAAUAAGAAACAAAAUGACUAAAUACUCACAAUAUUAAGAAUGAGGCGUCUAUGAUUAGGGUGGUCACUUGAUAAACAUCCACACAUAACUGGACAUGUCUUUAAGACUCAUGUAGCUCCCUCUUAAAAGUACUUUUUCUUUCUGUUUUCUACCUCCCAUCCUAGCCUUUUAACAUCAACACUACUUAUUCUAAAGCCUUUGACACACAAAACUUGACACUAGAGGCCCUGGAAACAAAGGCAGAACAACAAAGCUCCUGCCCUUAAGAAACAGACAUUCUAUUAUUUUGUUAUUUUCAAUUUGGGGUUUUCUUGGCAAAGACACCACAGUGGUUCACCAUUUCCUUCUCCAGAUCAUUUUUACUGAUGAGGGAGAUGAGACCAACAGGGUUAAAUGACUUGCCCAGGGUCACAUAGCUAGUUAAGUGUCAGAGGCAGGAUUUGAACUUAUGGAGAUGAAUCUAUAUCCCCUGCACUGCCGAGCUGCCCAUAUCUGAAAAGAAUACAAUAUGAACACAAAUACAGGGUACAGUUUCCUCCAUGAAUUUUUCUCUAGUGAAAGCGAUAUGUAUUCUCUGUCACAACACUUAACUCCAGCUGCCUAGCCCUUCUCUCUCUUCUGCCUUAGAAUGGAUAAUCAGAAGGUAAGGAUUUAAAAAACAUCUUUGGUGGGUCACAGUUUCUAAGCAGGGCAGACCUCAUUUGAGGGGGCUGCUAAGAACCCCUUCUAGUGACACUGUCAAGAGUCUCUUUAACGACAAGAACACUGGAAGCUCUGUUGAAGUAGUCUGAGGGGAGUUUCUGAUUCUGAGGCUGGAGAUAAGGUGGAUAAUUUGUAAAAAAGUAGGUUCCAAGAACUAUCAUGAAUCUGGGGUGAGAAUUACUGUUAGUUGUUUCUCCCAGUUGUUUCUGAGCCACCACUGAAGAGAAGAGACAGCUAGUGAACUUUUUCAGUGACAAAGAAAUGAUAAAUCACAUUGAAGGAAAAGACUUUUUUUUUUUUUUAACAAAGGAAGAAAAACUAUAUUUAGAAAUCCACUUUAAAUGAAGCAUAAAGAAGGGUAAUUGCUAGAAUCCAGGCCCUAGAGAUCUUGGUUUCUUUACUCCCUACUGGCUCAUAUUCCUCAUGGGAGUGCACCUACCCCAGAAGACACAACCAACACUCCUUCUACUGCUUCAUAAUUUAAAAAUCUAGGCUUUUCCCCUGAGAGGUUUCCAAUCCUCUCCAACAGAGACCAUACCUUUCCCUAUUCCUGUCUAACUCAAAAGACUAGAAAUGGCAGACAGAUUUCUGACUCACUAUGAUUAGUUCUAAACCAUUCUGCUAUUUUCUAUUAAUUAAACCCUUUCCUUCUGUCUUAGAAUUAAUACUGUAGAUUGAAGACAGGUAAGGGCUAGGCAAUGGGGGUUAAGUGACUUGCCCAGGGUCACACAGUUAGAAAGUGUCCAAGGACAGAUUUGAACCCAGGACUUCCCAUCUCUAGACCUGGUUUUCAAUCCACGGAGACACCCAGCUACCCCUUCAAUUACUCUUCAUUACUUUUCAUCUUUUGAAGUUCAUACAACCCAUGCAUACUGACUUAUCUUGUUACUGCCAUCUAUUCAUUUCUAGGUUAUUUCAUUUUCUCAGUGAAUCCAAUACCUGGUUUAUAUCUCUGUCCCUUGUGUUACUUUUAGGGAUUUCAAUAUUUACAAUGAUCAUUCCUCUAAAAACCUAAUUUAUUAAUUCUUUAAGUUCCUCAACUCCCUUCUCCACCCCCUACUUCAGCCACACAGCUGCAAGGCCAUACAUUGUCCAUUAUCAUCUCUCAAAAUCACGUCACUUUUUAAGAUGUAGGAUUUUGAAGUCCUAGUCUUUAACCACAGCUUUUUAUCCUUCUGUUGGUUCACCAGCAAUCCCUGGAUUCUCCAUCCUCAGGCUACUCGCUCCAUCACUAUUCUCCUAAUCCCUCCCUUUGGCUUGCCUAGCCUCUGGGUGCAUCCAGCCUUGACCACAUGGAAUAUCAAUAAUGUUUCACUGGCAGCUACCCUAGAACCCCUCCUCCCCUCGCCUUCCCUGCUGUGACCUUUUAUUCUGACUACUCGGUGAAUCAUCAUCCCAGGUUAACCCCAACUUGGCCUGGAAUUUUUGAACAUUGAAGAAGAAAAAUCACAAAAAUACCCCAGCGUUGUCCUUUUCAAAUUCCUAUUUUGGAACCUUGGUUUGGCCCUCACUGCUAUUCAGUGAUCAUUCUACUUAAUAUUAUGCUCCGUCCUCACCUGACUCCUGUAAUACUUGUAAGAGCAGGUUGCAAAGGAAAAGAUGGAACAUGGAAGAAGAGAUGAUUGACAGCCCGAGACCAUUGGGAACAGAGGCUCAUGGGAGAGAAGGACCUCGGGGCUUUCUGAGCUGGGAGCUCAAGGUGGCAGGGAGCACGUUUCCUUGCUGGAGAUCUUGUCAAGAGCUAACUGAGGAUUUCCAGUGACUAGCCCUGGGACGUCACCUGAAGAGUAUUUUGACAUCAGAGUACGUCUAUUAGCUUCUAUCAAGAGUGUCGGGUCUCUUCGGACCUUUGCUUUGGUGCUCGGGGAUCAUCCGUGCUUGGAUCUCUAUCUUUUCCUUUGCCAGCUGCUCUGACACUCAUCCUUUCUACUCCAAAUCUCCCCUUUGGCCCCCGAUGCCUGCCCAUGGUCGCUGCCAAAUUGUUUUUAACCCCUUACCUUCUGUCUGAUAGGGUGAAAGGGAUACUGACUAUAAAAAUUAGUUGGAUUUGCUCCAGGGUCCAUUUUUUAACAACAAUCCUUUGCCACUUAUAUGCUUAAGCUUGAGAAAAUGGCCCCUGCCCUAACCACUCCAACAGGGCUUGGACUGAGAAUGUGUAGGAAUUUUUCCUGAUAAGAUGCUCCUUUUCUCACCAGGAUAGGCUCCUGGGAUUUCCAGAUCAGAUAACUAUUAUCAGCCUAUCUCCUGGACAGAUUGUUUUUGUUUUUUUUUUCAUUCUACACAAGAGGUAACUGAAGCCCAAAAGUCACUCCAAGGAGUUACUGUCAGGAAUUUGUCUUUACGCCUCGUCCCUCAAGCCAAUUUUUUUCCCUUUUAUCUCUUCCUCAUUUUUCAAACGAGAAAAGCUGGCUAAUAUCUGUAUCUAAUAGGUUCCGGGGCUCCUACGUGUAUGCUCAUUCUGCUGAGAAUACAUUAAAAACACCCUUCGUUUCCA